rnacentral:rRNA from 1 species
UACGAAGGGUGCAAACGUUGCUCGGAAUUAUUGGGCGUAAAGCGCACGUAGGCGGCUCUACAAGUCCCAUGUGAAAUCCCACGGCUUAACCGUGGAAGUGCAUGGGAAACUGCAGAGCUUGAGUACUUAAGAGGAUCGCGGAAUUCCCGGUGUAGAGGUGAAAUUCGUAGAUAUCGGGAGGAACACCAGUGGCGAAGGCGAG